rnacentral:rRNA from 1 species
UACGUAGGGCGCAAGCGUUGUCCGGAAUUAUUGGGCGUAAAGAGCUCGUAGGCGGCUUGUCACGUCGGGUGUGAAAGCCCGGGGCUUAACCCCGGGUCUGCAUUCGAUACGGGCUAGCUAGAGUGUGGUAGGGGAGAUCGGAAUUCCUGGUGUAGCGGUGAAAUGCGUAGAUAUCGGGAGGAACACCUGAGGCGAAGGCGGGCUACUGGGCCGAUACUGACGCUGAUGCGCGAAAGCCAGGGGAGCGAACGGG